UACGGAGGGGGCAAGCGUUGUUCGGAAUUACUGGGCGUAAAGGGCGCGUAGGCGGCCUUGUAAGGCGAACGUGAAAUCCCCGGGCUCAACCCGGGAACUGCGUCCGAUACUGGAAGGCUUGAAUCCGGGAGAGGGAUGCGGAAUUCCAGGUGUAGCGGUGAAAUGCGUAGAUAUCUGGAGGAACACCGGUGGCGAAGGCGGCUUCCUGGACCGGCAUUGACGCUGAUGCACGAAAGCUAGGGGAGCAAACAGG
rnacentral:rRNA from 1 species